CCUACGGGUGGCAGCAGUGGGGAAUAUUGGACAAUGGGCGAAAGCCUGAUCCAGCCAUGCCGCGUGUGUGAAGAAGGCCUUCGGGUUGUAAAGCACUUUCAGUGGGGAAGAAAGCCUUGGGGCUAAUACCCUCGAGGAAGGACAUCACCCACAGAAGAAGCACCGGCUAACUCCGUGCCAGCAGCCGCGGUAAUACGGAGGGUGCGAGCGUUAAUCGGAAUUACUGGGCGUAAAGCGCGCGUAGGCGGUCUGAUAAGCCGGUUGUGAAAGCCCCGGGCUCAACCUGGGAACGGCAUCCGGAACUGUCAGGCUAGAGUGCAGGAGAGGAAGGUAGAAUUCCCGGUGUAGCGGUGAAAUGCGUAGAGAUCGGGAGGAAUACCAGUGGCGAAGGCGACCUUCUGGACUGACACUGACGCUGAGGUGCGAAAGCGUGGGUAGCAAACAGGAUUAGAUACCCGAGUAGUC
rnacentral:rRNA from 1 species